GGAGAAACUGAGAAUAGCAACAAGUUUUAGUGGCUGGGGAUAUCUUCCAGACAUUCUUCUGUUAAAUGGUGAAGGGAAAAAGUUCUUUUACCAAUUGAACGAUGAGAUCGUCAGAGAUCCCCUUGAAUAAGUACGCACUCUCAACUGUUUGUCCGAAAAGGUGCUGGGCAAUACUGGAUCUGAUCGCUUUAGAACCGAAGUAAAUUGAGGAAACCGAAGGCGUCACUGCGGUACAUCUUUCCAGUCAAAAUUCUGUGUAGUGCCUGUAAUGGAAGAGUGGAGGCUACGUCCAUGGGGAACCACAGGCUUGUAAGCUAUCUUCUUAUGAUCGUCAACGAGGAGAUAGGUGGAUUUAUCCAAGUACGCGACGAAGAAGGUCAACACGAUAUCAAGGGCAAAG